CAGAUUACGAGGCUGAUAAUGCUGAUAAGGAGAAUAAUUAGGUAGUAGGUUGUUUUGUGUUGGUUGUUUAUCAUAUUAAUAAGUCUUGAGCUUUAUGUUUUGGUUUGUCAUAGUUUGUCGC